rfam:Chloroflexi bacterium 13_1_40CM_2_70_6 13_1_40cm_2_scaffold_967, whole genome shotgun sequence.
CCGUCCUGCUAGGGGUGCGCGUCAGCGCUGAGAGGCGGUAACUCCCCGCCAACCCUGAAGACACCUGAUCCGGGUCAUACCGGCGGAGGGAAGCAGUGACGAUCUCCC